GAAAGAGAUUUUUUUUUGGAAAAAUUGAAUCUCUUCAUGAAUAUAAUCUCACCAAUAAUCAAAUACAUAAUCAUAUAUAGUUGCACAAUACAACCCAUAUCAAUCCUUAAUUUAUUCCACUUUGUAACUAAACCAAUGAAUCAAAUAACAGUAACCCUCAUCCCUCCAUCCAUCAAAAAAUCUCUUUCCACAAAGCACAUAUGUAGUAAUGAUACAAUAAAUUAGAAAAAC
rnacentral:misc_RNA from 1 species